GAUAUAACAGAGUACUGGAGCUGAGCCAGAACUAUUACUGGCCAUGUGUACUCUCUCCUCGUCAAUCACACACUACGUCCUAUUUCAGUCUCCAGCAGGGCUGAAUUGUUCCUACAUUUUGCUAAUUUUCCCUAAAUAUACAGAACAGUAUGUGCUUCCCCAGCAUAGGAGGGGAGAAUGAGGACCAAUGACAUUGCAGGAUGAUGUCUUGUCUUUCAAGAAAAUUGGUGUAAGGGAGACGGAGUUGCACAAAGUCAUCAGUUCCACUCUCCCUUCCAUAGUCAUGAAGUCUAAUGACAAGCUUCAUCAAACAAUAAUCUCAAGGCCAGCUGCUGUUUAGCCUGAGACUUAGAAUGGACAAAAAACCAAGCAAGAAAGAUUUCUCAUAUUAAAUCUGGUGAAUGCAUACUUCAUCAUGGCUCAACAUCCAGCUAAAAGGCUUUUCACCACCAUGAAGUAACCUGAUACUUGUGUAUGCACUAAAUUGGAGAAGGAAGGUCUCUUUCCACACAUUUCCUGAAGCAGGUAAAUAUGCAUGCUUUAAGACCUGGGUCCUCACUCCUCAGUUCCAUCACUACAUUAAGACGUCAGAGGCCAUUGAGUCUAUCCUUUCAUUUUGCAAUGAGUUAGGUGAGAUCCAGGCAAUCCAGACAGUAAGUGACAGAGCCAGGACUCUUUAUUUUUCCACAUUGCUUUUGUAUCAAAGCAUCAUAUGUCUGGAGUUGGAGGGUGCUUCAGAGGCUAUCUAGUUGAAUUUCCUUGUUUUAAAGAUUAGAAAAUGUAGGAUGAAGAAGAUACAGUGUGAACCUUAAAAAUUCUCAGACCCUACUUCAUAAGGUUAGGAUUGUAAACCUUAAAAAAUUUCCCAGACCCUACUUCAUAAGGAGACCAUUCCCCAUUUGGGACCAUUCUCCACUUGGGCAGUG
rnacentral:lncRNA from 1 species